AGAAAAUUUACUAGACUGGACGGCGAAGACGCGGGUGCAAUGGCCGACAACGAGCAGGAGCUUCUAGCGGUAGCGGUGGCGGAGCCGGCGGAGUGCAGCAGGUGGGUGAUGAUUUGCCUUUUGGGCUGCGUAGCUGCCAUGGUUUUCAGCAUCUCCAUCUUCAUGUUGAACAACACCAACGAGGUGGACUUGGAGCUCCUCGCCGCGUUAGUGUUGCUCCUCGUGGGGUUCUGCCCUUGCGGACUCUGCCUUAUUCUGCUCGGGGAGCAGUAUAGGGGCAACCCAGGGGGGCAAAGGGCUAUAGUAGAUGCCUUGUUUUUGCUCUAACCGACCAAUCAAUCCAUCUAUCUGUACUUCUACCUAGUCUAGUUCUCCUUAAUUACAGUUAUUUAGGUACAGAGGAAGUAGCAUUUAGUAGUUCACCAGAUUGAUCCAGGUGUAGUACUUAUGUAGGUAUGUAUCUCUUGUUUGAAAGCAUACUAAAUGGUACUUCAUGCGUAUAGAUAGUCAUGUCAUCAACCAACAGUAGGCCGUGUGCUGUGUGAUUUACCAUCAGUGUGCCGAUGUGACAUUGUAACUACACAUGGUAACCAGGCCUUAGUUUGCUUCUAUUAUGAGGAGGGAAUAAUUGGGAAUAGUUUGAUCUGUGGAGGUUGAUGUUGGUUUGCAAACUGAGUUGUUCUUUGCGUAAUUCCAUCUUUUUUUUCAAAAAUAAAAUAUAUUAGUAUCGCGAAGAUAUUGAUUACAUACAAUCUCUACAUCAACAAGAUGUCGCACGGGCUAUUUUCAACCGGU
rnacentral:lncRNA from 1 species